rnacentral:lncRNA from 1 species
GGUUUUCAAUAAAGCAGACCAUAUAUAUAUAUCACUGGAAGGAAAAGCAAAUUUACUUCUAGAAAGCACAACCUGUGUUUAGAUAUAUUUCCUUAGUGUGUCCUAUUUAUUUGACUUACAGAACCUCUCUCCAUAUAUCCUGGACAAAUUUCAGGAACUCUAUGUAAACGGACAUACUUAUAGGGCUUACUUCUUUCUUUCUCACAGCCUAGAACUUGACAUAAGAGUUCAAGGGGAUUCUUGAUAUAUGCACUGCUUUUAAGGUGCCCGGAAAAUCCAGAGCCCCUCUGUACUCGUGAGAUCUUGCACCGUAAAUUAUUUCCCAAAAAACUGUCUGAUGACAAGAAAUGACCAAUUCCUCGAUUCUCCGGUAAAAUGCACAUAGUCUGAUGGAAACUUUCUUUACAGUGUUAUCUUUCCUUUUGACCUUCAUGGGAAUGAAGAUUCUGAAAGAUGGUGGUGCAGAGCGGAGAUGAGAGCUCAGUGUACUGGGUUGCUAUGGGUGAUGACGAGGAAAGAUUCUCUGAAAGUGAAAAUGAGGACCUCUCUCACGCUGGCCAGGGAACCAUCAUACUGUCAUCACAGCUGGAUAUGACAGGUUCCAGGAGUUUAGAAAUUGUUCUUGACAUGGUGGGAAGCAUUUUCAUGUCCUCGCACCAGGAAUACGUCAUUUCCUAUAGUUUGCAUCAACACUAAAUAACCCCUCUAAACAUCUGAGGCUGAAUGGGGUAAGAAGAGGAAUACAUUCCAUUCUUAUUAAAAAACAUCAAGUGAUUGUUUUCUGUAUCAAAUGCGGAAUUCCGGUUUUAUCAAACACGUCUCGGAGAAACACCCCAGCCUCCAAAGCAGACAGCAGUUGUAAACAUCUCCUCUUCCUGCUGAGAAGCUGCGGAAUUCCAGAGCCCUGACCUGCGAAAUACCAGUUCUCUGCUCCCUCCCCAUGGAACGGAAGCUAAGCCCUGAGGGAGGGCAUUUGUGUGUUUAGACCCUCUGCGUGAUGCCUAGUGCUGGACCAGGAGGGAGCUCAACCCACAAACCGCUAGCAAAGGGGAUGGAAAAAGACAGGACCCAGCAGAGGGGAACACAAUUGCUCACUAGCCCAGAAUCUGGAACUUGGAAGCCAAAUUAUGGUUAGCCACAUGGCUUUAUUAUUGACCUUCUUUGGCACGUAGUGCUUUAUGGGUACACUGUAUCUUCGCUUUUUCUGACCAGUCUCCAACUUCCCACCAACACUGCUUAUACCAAAAGAUGGCAAAUGGCACGUAUCCUGGCAUUUUUCUAUGGCUUAAGGCACAGUCAAGACUCUUGAUGAUGUAAAAGAAAAACAGAUGACUGCGUCUAUUUCCUGCCUGAUUACUACUACUUUAAAGGAAUGCCGAGGUUUUGUUUGUAAAAAUACACUGAUGAUUAUGUAACCAGUGAGACCUACAUUUAUUUCUACCUUAUUUUGUUUAGGGCAGGCUCAAUUAAACUUCACGGCCCUCAUAUAAUCUUCUUUAAUCUUUGUGGUUUAUUGGACAAUCUGGUGAACUUGUAUCACAUCCUGAGGUUGGGUGUGCAUUUCAAGGCAUCAGGGAAUGAUGAGUUCAGUUGUGAGGUGAAGGAGGCCAUAUGGGAUAGGUUUUCCAUCUUAAAUUAGCAUACAUCAGAGGCCUGGUGGGGGGGGGGGGAGUCCAUGGCAUCAGGUGACCAGAAUGAGGGGCCAUAGCAGUCUGUGACUCACGUGACAGCUGGGGAGGAAAUGGAACACUUUUCCCAAAUCCAACUGAGAUUGUUAAUGCCCAGACUGGGAAAGAGUGGUGCCACCUUUCUGUAGCAACAAGCCGGGCAAACCAGGGGUUUCUGGAGAAGCUUCUGUUUGCAUGGCUAAAUAAUAAAAGGUGGUCUUGAUAGGUCUACUCUUAAAUUGUGCGAUGGACCAUUAUCAGAGCUCUGCUAGCUGAUCAGACAUUUGACCCACUAAAAUGUAGUCUUGGGGUUUAUUUUGAUCAGGUCCGUGGGCAUAGGGGUGUGGGACAAAAGAAUUUGUCAGUCAAUUCUUCUGCAAUAUGCAUUCAUUUCUCCUCUUAACAUCAGCAGAAGCUAUUAUUAGGGAUUGAAUGUGCUUCACCCCCAUGUUGAAGCCCUAUUUCCCAAUGUGAUGGUAUUUGGAUGUAGGGCCUUUAGGAGGUCACCCGAUUUAGGUGGGGUCAUGAGGGUGGGGCCCCCGAGAUGGGAUUAGUGCCCUUGUGAGAGGAAGAGCCCAGAGCUUGCCCUCUACCAUAUGAGGACACAGUGAGAAGGCAAUCACCCAUAAGCCAGAAAGAGAGCUCUCACCACACCGAAUCUCCUAGAAUGGUGAUCUUGGACUUCUCAGCUUCCAGAAUUAUGAGAAAUAAAUGUCUAUUGUUUAAGCUGUCCAAUCUAUGGUGUUUUGUGGUAGCAGCCCAUGCUAAGACAAGCUCUUUGUAUUCAUUGAAUAGAAAACUGUUCAUACUCAACUCUAAAUGUACCAACCUCUCUUCUCCAUAUUUACUUAAUAUUUCCAGUAUUUAAUUAGUAUCUUGUAGUGUAUAAAGUUGGCCUUUGAACAUCAUGGGUUUGAACCACAUGAGUCCACUUGUGAAUUUUUUCUGAUAAAUACAGUUCCAUACUAUAAAUGUAUUUUAUGUUUUUCUUAACAGCACUUUCUUUUCUCUAGCUUGCUUGAUUAUAAGAAUACAGUAUAUAGUACAUAUAGUGUAUGAAAUAUAUGUCAAUUAACUGGUUAUGUUAUUGGUAAGGCUUGCGGUCAACAGCAGGCUAUUAGUAGUUAAG